rnacentral:lncRNA from 1 species
CUUCGACCUUAGACCGAGAGCUAAGCCCGGCGCAGGCGCGCUCCCCGCCCCAAUUGCUCUGCUAGAGAGCGCGGCGGGCUGUGGGCGUCCUGAGCGGUGAGAUAGCCCCAGCCUGCUGCUCAGUACUGUAGUGGGAGCUAGGGAAAAACUCAGUGUGAUGAAGGAUGGUGCUGUAUCCUGUGUCCUUCUCCGAUCCUACUGCUGUCUCUCUGCACUAGGUGAGUGCCUCGCUACCUACAGUAUCCAGAGCACUGAUUUGCCACCUUAACACUGCUCACAGCACCUAUGAUGAUUCCUAUAGGUCUUCCCCUGCUCUCUGUUUCCUGGAUGCCAUGAGUUGAGCAGCUUUCCUCCUUCACGUCCUUCCACCUUGAUGUUCCUGCCUUGGAAUGAGCUGACCAUAAACUGAAACCUCUGAAACUCUGAGCAAAAUAAACCUCUCCUCUUUAGCUGUGGAUGUCUGGUAUUUUGUGCCAGCAGCAAGAAAGCUGAGCAAGACACAGGGAUUAUGGGCAUCUUUGGAGGCCAUUGUUCU